rnacentral:rRNA from 1 species
GCAGCACGUCUUCGGAUGGUGGCGACCGGCGCACGGGUGAGUAACGCGUAUGCAACCUACUUGUAACUGGGGGAUAGCUCCCUGAAAGGGGAAUUAACACCGCAUAAGACCACGCUUUCGCAUGGAAGAGUGGUAAAAUAUUUAUAGGUUACAGAUGGGCAUGCGUGACAUUAGUUUGUUGGUGAGGUAACGGCUCACCAAGACUACGAUGUCUAGGGGUUCUGAGAGGAAGGUCCCCCACACUGGUACUGAGACACGGACCAGACUCCUACGGGAGGCAGCAGUGAGGAAUAUUGGUCAAUGGGCGCAAGCCUGAACCAGCCAUGUCGCGUGCAGGAAGACGGCCCUAUGGGUUGUAAACUGCUUUUGUAUGGGAAGAAAGUGUUCGACGUGUCGAAUAUUGCCGGUACCAUACGAAUAAGGAUCGGCUAACUCCGUGCCAGCAGCCGCGGUAAUACGGAGGAUCCGAGCGUUAUCCGGAUUUAUUGGGUUUAAAGGGUGCGUAGGCGGAAUGGUAAGUCAGAGGUGAAAUCCUGCAGCUCAACUGUAGAAUAGCCUUUGAAACUGUCAUUCUUGAGUACAUUUGAGGUAGGCGGAAUGUGGUGUGUAGCGGUGAAAUGCAUAGAUAUACCACAGAACACCGAUUGCGAAGGCAGCUUACUAAACUGUAACUGACGCUGAGGCACGAAAGCGUGGGUAUCAAACAGGAUUAGAUACCCUGGUAGUCCACGCUGUAAACGAUGAUUACUGGUUGUUU